rnacentral:tRNA from 1 species
GUCUCGGAUAGCUUAACUUGUAGAGCCUUUGGCGCGUAACCAAACGAUCCGGGUUCGAAUCCCGGUCUGGACU